GUCCACGCAGUAAACGAUGAUAACUCGUUGUCGGCGAUAUACAGUCGGUGACCCAGCGAAAGCGAUAAGUUAUCCACCUGGGGAGUACGACCGCAAGGUUGAACUCAAAGGAAUUGACGGGGCCCGCACAAGCGGAGGAACAUGUGGUUUAAUUCGAUGAUACGCGAGGAACCUUACCCGGGCUUGAAAGUUAGUGACCGACCCUGAAAGGGGUCUUCUCUUCGGAGCACGAAACUAGGUGCUGCAUGGUUGUCGU
rnacentral:rRNA from 1 species